AGCGAACGCUGGCGGCAGGCUUAACACAUGCAAGUCGAGCGGGCACUUUCGGGUGUCAGCGGCGGACGGGUGAGUAACGCGUGGGAACGUGCCCUCUGGUUCGGAAUAACUCAGGGAAACUUGAGCUAAUACCGGAUACGCCCUUUUGGGGAAAGGCUUGCUGCCGGAGGAUCGGCCCGCGUCUGAUUAGCUAGUUGGUGAGGUAACGGCUCACCAAGUCGACGAUCAGUAGCUGGUCUGAGAGGAUGAUCAGCCACACUGGGACUGAGACACGGCCCAGACUCCUACGGGAGGCAGCAGUGGGGAAUAUUGGACAAUGGGCGCAAGCCUGAUCCAGCCAUGCCGCGUGAGUGAUGAAGGCCUUAGGGUUGUAAAGCUCUUUUAUCCGGGACGAUAAUGACGGUACCGGAGGAAUAAGCCCCGGCUAACUUCGUG
rnacentral:rRNA from 1 species